AAAUAUUUUAUAACAUAGAUGUUCAUUUUAUAAUUUUUCAGAAUUUUUAUAGCUCAUCAUAGGAAAUUUCAAUUUUUACUUAAAAUUUCAAAAAUAUAAUUUAUUUUGUACUAAAUCCAGAAUUAUUUUCAUAUAAUCAAUAUAUAUAAAAUCCAAUAAUCAAUCUUGGAUAUAGGUAAUGUAUAUUAUAAAAUAAAUUCACCUAGGCAUCUUUGUAAAAUGCAAUGUUUGUGUUCUGCAUAGACUCCAACACCAUUUAACUUGUCAUGGCCAAAUUUUGUAUGAUCACUUUUCAUGACCCUGCAGGUAACAAGAUAUCAAAAUCAUCCCAGAGAUGGGGCACAUUUGGGUUGUUCUAUCUAUUUUUUCGAUUUAGGUUUCUAUAUCAUAUGAUCUAUUGAUACCAAAUUUUGCAAGGUCACUCCCCACAGGUAACACAGGUUCAAAAUUGCCCCAGAAAUGAGGCAUUUUGGAUUAUGUUUAAAUUCUUCAGCCUAUUAUUUUUCACUGUUAUUGACAUUGCAAAGUGUGAAGUAAGAACGAUGUCAUGGUCUCACAAGCAUGACAUUACUACAACAUAACAAUGAAUGAUAUCAGUGUUAGGCAUCAUUACAACACAACUGUUACUAACAUCAAAAAAGCAUGUCACUAUGACAUAACAAUGGAUGACAUCCUAGAAUAUUAUCAGAGUUGACUUCAAUAUGCCAUAGCAAUGUUGUCAUAACAGUUCCAAUAUAUGAAGUAAUGAUGGAUGAUAUCAAAAAAUGACAGAAUGUGUAAUGUCACUGUGAUGUGGUAAUAUCGGUUUGUGGCAUACCAGUGCUGUCAGAAAAAUGUCCUAGUAUAUCCCCUUGUUAUUAUGUCACAAUGACCUCUCAACCAUUCCUACAUAUGAAGUAGCAAUGGAUGAGGUCACAAAACAUUAGAAUGUGUGAUAUCAUUGUGAUUCACAAUUACAUCAAGAAAUGAUGCACAUAGCAAUGGCAUCAUAACAACUCCAAUGCAUGAAGCAACAGUGAAUGAUAUCACCAAACAUUCUUAUGUGACAUCAUUGUGGUAUAGAAAUGAAUGCCAUCACAAAUGUUUCAACAUACAAUGUAACAAUAGAUGAUGAUCCAGAACUUCUUCAGUGUGUGGCAUCAAAAUAAUUCUGACUUAAAAAUAGUUUCAAUAUACAAUGUAACAAUGGAUGAUGAUUCAGAAUGUCAUCAGUGCUUAACAUCAGUAUUAUGUACAAUGGAUGAUAUCAUGAAAUAUCAGUGUGUGAAGUCACGAAAGUUCCAAUGUAUGACAUCAUCAUUACACCAAAAGAUUUUGAUUUUUUU
rnacentral:lncRNA from 1 species